GGAAGGGUGCCGGAGUGGUUUAACGGAACGAUCUGGAAAGUCGUGUCCUUUUAAUAGGACUCGUGGGUUCGAAUCCCACCCCUUCCGCCA
rnacentral:tRNA from 1 species